UCACGCGAAGCAGAAAGUGAAAGUCAGUGACUUGUCUGUCGCUGCUGUGUCACGUAUUCGAAAUACCUAUGCCUGGUGUACGCUGUGAUGUCCAGAGAUACAAAAAUUGUUCAUCUUCGACGACUGGCACUUUCUACAACGAGAUUCCACAGGACAGUGCGCGAAAACCGAUGUGGUUCGAAGCACUCGGCAAUUAGGUACAACAGUCGUGUCGUGUCUGCUGAGCUCAUUUUGCUGCCGAUGACUACGAAGAUGCCGCAGCAGGCGAAGUGCGAAAACGUACGAAGCAAACUGCCGUUCAGUCACCAGUUAUUCUGCUUUACCGAGGUGACGAGCUCAACACGACGUCUAAGGAAACAACAACUAUACUCGAGCUCGACCAUGCAUACUGUAGCACUGUCCUCUACCACCACUAUGAAGUCUGCAUGUAAGAAAUGUAUAGAGGACUAAUGCUCAACAUUCUCUGCAUUUCUCUCUUAUUACUCUUUUUUUUUUUUGUGAUCCAUGCACUCAAGUUAUCAUGACAGAAAUAGCUGAUCCAUAUUGAUGAUCCAAAUGAUGAUCCAUAUUGGCGAGGGGUGACAGCUUUCCUGGCUGUGGCUUCGUCAUCCCUUCUUGCUUCUACCAGCUGCAGCUGUAUGAUUGCUCAAGAGACACUUGAAAGGACAUGACGUGGACCAGUGAAUACAUCAAUCCCAACUCCACAGAUUCUGCCACGUCCACAGGUGCAGAACAUUACUAUGACGUCAACAGUGGGAGAAGAAACCGAUGAGAACUACCAGCUUCUUUGAGGGGUACAGGAAUACUCCCUGUUGAGAUCAUAACUUCAAAGAGUUUUCCUCUGCACGCUGUGAAAAGUCUGCCGCAAGUGAAAAGUGUUGGGUAGCCCUACUUUUGGACGGAAACUACAUGAUGCGGCUGGUAACAUCCACAUAUCUAAAAUUUUAGUGGACAGAGAUUUGCUGUUUUUGUACAACUUUCAUUGUAUAUUUCUUUUGUCACAAUUAGCACACAUGAAGAGUUAUCAUCUCUACUCAUCAUCAUGAGAUGUGCUAUCAUGAGAAAAGUUAUCAUAUUCAUCAAGAUGACAGGUCACUGUUGGAUCUUUGUGCUGCAUUAUUAUUCCUGUAUUCUUUUCAUCAACAGAGAAUACGUACAAAAGCACACAAAUAGUAAAACAUAACUUGCUUGUUAAACUCAAAAGGGAAAGACAAAACUGUUUAUACUUGAGACUUCGUGUUGUGUCUGUCCCUUCGUGUUCCCUAGUCUCAGGGUUUUACAUUGUGCAUGUUUAUAUUUCUCUUGUUUAUUUUGUUCCAGGUUUUACAACUCUAUGAAAUACGUUAAAACAUCAGAGGGCAGAGAGUCCUACUCUGUCUCCUAAAUCCGUGGUCAAUAAAAAAGAAAAAUAUAGUUUGAGUUGUGACAAAAUGUCGCUUCUGCUCUUCUAUUAUAUUUCAAAUAAAUGUUCUGGCGUGUCUGUUGUGUACACUGAAGCCAGUUUCGAUUUGCAAGGCUGUCAAAAUUACUUUACAAAAGUACAUCUCAAUCUCAGUAACGGAUAACUUACGGGUACAUGGGUACAUAGAGUACAUGGGUACAGUCAUUCCCGUUCACAGAGUCUUUUCGGGCUAGUUUGGUUAUUGAGUGGCUUCACUGUGUGUGGAAAAGUGUCAAUAUAUUUCAUGUUAAAUAGAAUUGCAAAGACAGAGAGUGCCUGU